UGGGCCUACGGGGGGCAGCAGCCGCGGUAAUACGUAGGGGGCGAGCGUUAUCCGGAUUCAUUGGGCGUAAAGCGCGCGUAGGCGGCGCGUCAAGCGGGACCUCUAACCCCGGGGCUCAACCCCGGGCCGGGUCCCGGACUGGCGCGCUCGAGUGCGGUAGAGGCGAGUGGAAUUCCCGGUGUAGCGGUGGAAUGCGCAGAUAUCGGGAAGAACACCGAUGGCGAAGGCAGCUCGCUGGGCCGACACUGACGCUGAGGCGCGAAAGCUGGGGG
rnacentral:rRNA from 1 species